rnacentral:rRNA from 1 species
UCCAGAGGGUGCGAGCGUUAAUCGGAAUUACUGGGCGUAAAGCGUGCGUAGACGGUUAUUUAAGUCGGGUGUGAAAGCCCCGGGCUCAACCUGGGAAUUGCAUUCGAGACUGAAUAGCUAGGGUACGGUAGAGGGAAGCGGAAUUUCCGGUGUAGCGGUGAAAUGCGUAGAUAUCGGAAGGAACAUCAGUGGCGAAAGCGGCUUCCUGGACCAGUACCGACGUUCAGGCACGAAAGCGUGGGGAGCAAACAGG